rnacentral:lncRNA from 1 species
GAGUCUCAAAUUUGUCAUUAUUAUCCAAUAAAACUUGAGUCCUAAAUUUGUCAUUUAGAAAUUUUUUAUAAAUAUUUAUUUUUGGUGAUUAGGUUUCACAGAAAAUAUAAAAUUUCUAACAAAAUAAACUAUUGCUAGCAAGUCUGGUAGGAUCUAUCAUACUGGCUGUCCAUUUCUUUUUUGUUUUCAAUGCAUUUCAGAAACAGGAGAUUAAUGUGUUAUCCAUAGUUUAUUUAUUAUAAUCAUUCUCUGCCAUUUUAAUGUAAAUAAAAUAAAAGUGCAUUAGCAACCUCAGGUCCUACUAUAAUUUACAAACUAUUUUUUUUUAUAGUGUUCCAGUUUUUAUCAACUGAGCAAAUUUUGUUUUGUGCACUUUAAUCGGAAGAAAGCUGCAUUUGUGUUCCUAAGGGUAAUUAAAGUAGACAAGUGCAGGCAAAACAAACUGAUUCUAAUUAGUUUUUAUGAUAAUUCAUCUCCUGGGAAAUAAGUGUAAAUAAAAUAAGAAGUUUAUCUAAGAUCAAAGAAAUUAUAUAUUAUGGGUAGGUAAGCUUGUCUUCUUAAAAGAUAAGUUAUAUAUUAUUUCUUUUGACAAAAUUAGUUUGUACUGUGGAAUUCAUUAUUAUUCAUAGGAUACUAACUUGGGUAUGGAUGAACAAUGUACAUAUUAAAGAGUGCAACAAACUGAAAACUGCCUAUAGGUUGAACAUAGAAUUGUUUAGAACCUUGAAAUCAAUUCACUAUUCUUAAUCAUUUUGUAACUAUGAAAAUAAAUAUAUGCACAGUAUAUGCCAGGUGCUGUUUUACAGAAUAAUAUAUUCAUAGUGAAACUAAGUUUCCAAAGAAUUAUAUAUAACAUGCUUUUACAUAAUAUUUCCACAAAUGCAUAACAAAAUUAAAGGAUGUUUUCAGGAGCAGUGUUCUCUUUCAGAAGAGUAAUUGCUAUUACUAAAAUUAAUGCCUCUGUAAUUAGUAGAUCAAAGCUAAAUACAAGCAGCAAAAAUAUUCACAUAAACAAAUCAAUAAUAUACUCAUCACUUAAAAUAUAAAUGGUGUAUAAUGAAAAGUAGAAGUACUAGAUAUGCAAUAUAACUGAUAAUGCAAGCAUCCACAACCUUCAAAAUUUACAGAUCUGUUUUGAGUUCUCAUGAUUAUAAUAGAAAACAAAAUGUCAUAAUUGGGCUACUACCUCUGAAACAUCUGGGUUGAAUGGGGAUAACUGUGAAUUCAUUACUAUUUGUUUAAAACUAAUUUUUGGGGAUUUCGUGCAUAUUGGUGAACCACAAAUUCAAUUAAUCAAUAAAGUUCAAAUUUUCUUUGGUUUGAAUGGAGUUUUUGGCAAAACAACGAAAUCACGU